UUUGUUUGUGACCAGCUACAAACAUUUUGCAGCGUUUUACUAAACGUUUAUUAUAUGUGACAACGUGAAGUGUUGUCACAUAUAAUAUCUCGUUUGAUCCUUACAUAAGUCCCGACGUGGGCAGAACACUUACUAGUAUCCUCCUUUUAUGGACAAGGAAACAGAGAAAGUUUAGAGACUUGAUCCAGCUUAACAAAAGUAGGAAAUGGGGGAACUGGAGAAUGACUCCAGGAUUUCUUACUAAGCAGUAUAUGGUCAUUUAAACACUACCACUCUUACGGUCGCUUUUAAUUUUUUCCUGUGUGAUCUACAGUGAGAGUCUGUUUUGCUUUGGUAUUCACGACUUGUGUUGCUGACAUUUUCCUGAAAGAGCGGUCAGGGUGCUUUAUUAGACUUGAAAAAGUUUACCUAAAUCAGAAAAUAAAUCUAAUGAAGCAAGUUUUGCUCAAGAAGGAUUUUGAGUAAAAAGGUGGAAUUUAUCUUGGUGGAAGAAAGCAAGUAUCCCUACAUACAAUGCAGUUCAGACAGAAAACUCGAAAGGUGAUGCCCAGACCUAGAAAAAGGAUCUUUUAAGGCAUAAUGUAUCAACCAGAAAGAAUUACUGUGAGGAUUAAAUGAGAUUUACCAGCAAAGUACACUCUAUUUAGUAAGCUAUGAAAAGAAUAAGUUCCUUGCUUUUUCUCCUCCAGUCCAUCCCACAACCUUAUUGUUUCACUCAGCUUUCUUUAUCUUACAAUUUUAGCUAUUUUUAUAUCACUUUCUAAUUACAUCAUUUUAUAUCUUUUCCCAACUAAUUUGAUUAAUUUUUAUAAACUGUAAGCCAAAAGCAUAGAGAUAAGGGAAAUAGCCAUCAGAAUAAUCUAUUCACUAAACAAGAAAUGCUGACUAUCUAUUUCUCUCCAAAUAGCUUAGCAAGGUCUUCCAAACUUAAGACUCAUAUAACAAAUAUUCAUUGAGUAACUACUAUGUACCAACUACAUAGUAGACUUAAUGUAUUCAGCAUUGAGACAGACAUAAUUCCACCACUAAAGGACUUUACAAGCCAAUGCAAAAGACAGAAUAAGUGAACAAAAAAAAUUGCAGUAUAGUAUAAUAAGUAUAGGAGAAAAGCAUUGAGUAAUACAGGAGUACAAAGAAAGGGCACUCAUUUCAAUCAGCGGAAGCUUCUAAAUAGGGUAAUAUCUAAGCUGAGACCUGAAUGUGAAUAAUGUGUAGAAGUUAGCUGGGAGAAUGGCGUGGAGAUUGUUAUAAAGUUAGAAAUGGACCGCUAAGGCUAGGCAUGGUGACUCACACCUGUAAUUCCAACACUUUGGGAGGCCAAUGCAAGAGGAUUGCUUGAGCCCAGGAGUUCAAGGUGCAGUGAGCUAUGAUUGCACCACUGCACUCCAGCCUGGGCAGCAAAGUGACUCCUUGUCAGAGAGGAAAAAAGGAAGGAGGAAGGAUGGGGAAGAAGGAAAAAGAAGAAGAAAGAAGAAAAGAGGAGUAGAAAAUAAAUUUAUUUUGUGGAUUGUUAAAAAUUACAAAUAUUCUGUGCAGCUUAGGACAGAGUGACUGAAAGAGAUGAGGAUGGAGUGAAGGCUGGUUAGAUGGAGGUUACCUAAAUCAAGAAGGCUGUAUAUAUCUUGUAAAGUAAUUUCAACUUUAUCCUAAGGGAACUAUAGAAGGAUUUUAAGCAGAAAAGUAACUACCAGAUUUGUGUUUUAGAAAUACCACUAUGAUUACUGGGUUAAAAAAGAAAUGGAUCCACAGGGCAGAUCAGAGACAGGGAGACCUGAGGUUAUUGCAGUAAUCCAAUAGAGUUGUUGAAGUUUUGACUUAACAUCUCUAAAUUUCACUUUGUUAUCAAUAAAAUAGAUAAUGCCUACUUGUA